rnacentral:misc_RNA from 1 species
GAUGAAGAACGUAGCGAAAUGCGAUAAGUAGUAUGAAUUGCAGAAUUCAGUGAAUCAUCGAAUCUUUGAACGCACAUUGCGCCCUUUGGUAUUCCAAAGGGCAUGCCUGUUCGAGCGUCAUUUGUACCCUCAAGCUUUGCUUGGUGUUGGGCGUCUUGUCUCUAGCUUUGCUGGAGACUCGCCUUAAAGUAAUUGGCAGCCGGCCUACUGGUUUCGGAGCGCAGCACAAGUCGCACUCUCUAUCAGCAAAGGUCUAGCAUCCAUUAAGCCUUUUUUUCAACUUUUGACCUCGGAUCAGGUAGGGAUACCCGCUGAACUUAAGCAUAUCAAUAAGCGGAGGA